UCAGUACGGUCGGAAAUCGUACGUAGAGUGUAAAGGCAAAAGAGAGCUUGAUUGCAAGACAUACAGGUCGAGCAAGGAUGAAAAUCGGACUUAGUGAUCCGGUGGUUCUGCGUGGAAGGGCCAUCGCGCAACGGAUAAAAGCUACCCUGGGGAUAACAGGCUUAUCUCCCCCAAGAGUCCACAUCGACGGGGAGGUUUGGCACCUCGAUGUCGGCUCAUCACAUCCUGGGGC
rnacentral:rRNA from 1 species